rnacentral:lncRNA from 1 species
AGCCUAGAUGUUAUCAUGCAAAUCAUCCCUAAGUUAAGGUUUCUAGCUAACUGGCACAGGGAGCCAGCCUAUCCUAAGCAUGACUUGCACAGGAAGCAAGCCACACACACACUUAACUUGCACAGGAAGCAAGCCAAGCAAAACCUAACUUGCACAGGAAGCAAGUCUAAACUAACCCUAACUUGCACAGGAAGCAAGUCAAACAAUCC